GACGAACGCUGGCGGCGCGCCUAACACAUGCAAGUCGAACGAGCGAGCGAGGGCUUGCUUUCUCACGCGAGUGGCGAACGGGUGAGUAACGCGUGAGUAACCUGCCCCAAAGUGGGGGACAACAGCUGGAAACGACGGCUAAUACCGCAUAAGACCACCGGCCGCCUUCGACCGGAGGGAAAAGUAGCGCUCGGCUUUGAGAUCGCGUCGCGUCCGAUUAUCUAGUUGGUGAGGUGACGGCCCACCAAGGCAACGUUCGGGAGCCGGACGGGGGGGUUGACCGGCCGCAUUGGGACUGCGGCACAGCCCAGACUCCGACGCGAGGCAGCAGUGGGGAAUAUUGCGCAAUGGGGGAAACCGUGAUGCAGCGACGCCGCGUGGAAGAGGAAGGUCGUCGGAUUGUAAACUCCUGUUGUUCAGGAAGAUAAUGACGGUAAUCAACAAGGAAGUGACGGCUAACUACGUG
rnacentral:rRNA from 1 species